rnacentral:sRNA from 1 species
AUUUAGCCCUGAUUGAAAGGAAAAACCUUUGCUUUUUCGCAAAGUUUUGGGAUGAAAGCAGGAAAACGG